rnacentral:rRNA from 1 species
UACGUAGGUGGCAAGCGUUGUCCGGAUUUACUGGGCGUAAAGAGCGCGCAGGCGGUCGUUCAAGUCGAGUGUGAAAGCCCCCGGCUCAACUGGGGAGGGUCAUUCGAUACUGAUCGACUUGAAGGCAGGAGAGGGAAGCGGAAUUCCCGGUGUAGUGGUGAAAUGCGUAGAUAUCGGGAGGAACACCAGUGGCGAAGGCGGCUUCCUGGCCUGUUCUUGACGCUGAGGCGCGAAAGCUAGGGGAGCAAACGGG